GACGAACGCUGGCGGCGUGCCUAAUACAUGCAAGUUGAGCGCUGAAGGUUGGUACUUGUACCGACUGGAUGAGCAGCGAACGGGUGAGUAACGCGUGGGGAAUCUGCCUUUGAGCGGGGGACAACAUUUGGAAACGAAUGCUAAUACCGCAUAAAAACUUUAAACACAAGUUUUAAGUUUGAAAGAUGCAAUUGCAUCACUCAAAGAUGAUCCCGCGUUGUAUUAGCUAGUUGGUGAGGUAAAGGCUCACCAAGGCGAUGAUACAUAGCCGACCUGAGAGGGUGAUCGGCCACAUUGGGACUGAGACACGGCCCAAACUCCUACGGGAGGCAGCAGUAGGGAAUCUUCGGCAAUGGACGAAAGUCUGACCGAGCAACGCCGCGUGAGUGAAGAAGGUUUUCGGAUCGUAAAACUCUGUGGGUAGAGAAGAACGUUGGUGAGAGUGGAAAGCUCAUCAAGUGACGGUAACUACCCAGAAAGGGACGGCUAACUACGUG
rnacentral:rRNA from 1 species